GACGAACGCUGGCGGCGUGCUUAACACAUGCAAUUCGAACGGAAAGGCCCUGCUUUUGUGGUGUGCUCUAGUGGCGAACGGGUGAGUAACCCGUUAGUAACCUUCCCUUUACUUUGGGAUAACUUCCGGAAACUGGGGCUAAUACCGGAUAGGAGCUCCUGCUGCAUUGUGGGGGUUGUAAAGUUUCGUCGUUUGGGGAUGUACUCGCGGCUUAUCGGCUUGUUGGUGGGGUAGUGGCUUACCAAGGCUUUGACGGGUAGCCGGCCUGGGAGGGUGACCGGCAAAAGGGGGACGGGGAAACGGCCAAGACUCCAACGGGAGGAAGAGGUGGGAAAAAGAGCAAAAGGGGCGGAAGCCGGAUGCAGCAACGCCGGGUGGGGAAGGACGGCCUUCGGGUGGUAAAACGUUUUCGCCUGUGACGAAGCGUGAUGAAGGGAAAUGGGUAAAAAACCACGGCUAAAUUAGGG
rnacentral:rRNA from 1 species